GAUGAACGCUGGCGGCGUGCCUAAUACAUGCAAGUCGAGCGAACAGACGAGGAGCUUGCUCCUCUGACGUUAGCGGCGGACGGGUGAGUAACACGUGGAUAACCUACCUAUAAGACUGGGAUAACUUCGGGAAACCGGAGCUAAUACCGGAUAAUAUAUUGAACCGCAUGGUUCAAUAGUGAAAGACGGUUUUGCUGUCACUUAUAGAUGGAUCCGCGCCGCAUUAGCUAGUUGGUAAGGUAACGGCUUACCAAGGCAACGAUGCGUAGCCGACCUGGGAGGGUGAUCGGCCACACUGGACCGGAGACACGGUCCAGACUCCUACGGAGGGCGGCAGUAGGGAACCUUCCGCAAUGGGCGAAAGCCUAACGGGCAACGCCGCGUGAGUGAUGAAGGUCUUCGGAUCGUAAAACUCUGUUAUUAGGGAAGAACAAAUGUGUAAGUAACUAUGCACGUCUUGACGGUACCUAAUCAGAAAGCCACGGCUAACUACGUG
rnacentral:rRNA from 1 species